UGUUUGGUUUGGUACUUCGCUAAGUUUGCUUAAACUAUUUGACUACCACUGGCCGAACCAAACUGUUCCCACUUUUAACGAGGAGAUCAGCUGUAUUUGACACUUUAUUUGUAAACACGGCAUAUUUCUGCUAUCUCGCUCGUAAAAUGUUUUCCAGUCUGCAAGUCCGCGAAAAAUUGAUUAUAUUUUAUAUUUUGUGAUUACAAAUCACCAUAAAAACGAUUCCACACGCGUUUCCGUCACCCCGACUACGGAAAGGACGCACUGCACACUUCCCGGGAGCUCCACUUGGGAAGCCGCCAAUUCUACCGCG